rnacentral:rRNA from 1 species
GACGAACGCUGGCGGCGUGCUUAACACAUGCAAGUCGAACGGUAAGGCCCUUCGGGGUACACGAGUGGCGAACGGGUGAGUAACACGUGGGUGAUCUGCCCUGCACUCCGGGAUAAGCCUGGGAAACUGGUCUAAUACCGGAUAGGACCACUGCCUGCAUGGGUGGUGGUGGAAAGCUUUUGCGGUGUGGGAUGGGCCCGCGGCCUAUCAGCUUGUUGGUGGGGUGAUGGCCUACCAAGGCGACGACGGGUAGCCGGCCUGAGAGGGUGACCGGCCACACUGGGACUGAGAUACGGCCCAGACUCCUACGGGAGGCAGCAGUGGGGAAUAUUGCACAAUGGGCGCAAGCCUGAUGCAGCGACGCCGCGUGAGGGAUGACGGCCUUCGGGUUGUAAACCUCUUUCAGCACCGACGAAGCGUAAGUGACGGUAGGUGCAGAAGAAGGACCGGCCAACUACGUGCCAGCAGCCGCGGUAA